CACUGCGUAUCUGUUGCAUGAAAAUAUAACAGACAAGGACUCACUCACAAACUUUGGCUCUCCAAGGAAUUCCUGUCCUGAUACGAGGAACACCGCGUACUUUGGAGACACAAAAUUAGUGAUUAUUCCGUGUCACCACUGAACGACACUCACAACAAAAGCGAUGAUCAAAGGCGUCCACUGAACACGCUGUAUCCAUGCCUAGUCCUUGAGGCUCCUGAAUAUUAUCUGCCAUAGGUUACGACUUAUACGAGUACAGCAGAGUCUCGAAUCCCUUCAGAGACAUUUUCACCUUCAACCGCAUCGCUGCUUCCUCGUCGCAUGUUUCUCCCGGUGUGUCGGUCUGCUUGCUCUGAACCUUGCGUCACAUCUUCUUGACCCAUUUGUGGAUCAGCGGAAUUGCCAAGAUGACGAUUCUUCGAAUUGUUGACAUCAGGAAUUUUUUCCAACUGCAAGCACGCUUGUUUUUUCUGGGCGCUUCUUGACUCACUGAAAUCAUCUUUGAGGGAAUCGAUUGGAACCGUGAGACCAGAAGCCGCUGCUGAAGGCAACUCGGUCGUUGUCUGCAGUAAGUUGUGGUGCGGACUGUAAAGGUGUUGUGGAAUCUCCAGAGACUCCGCAAGCUUCUGCAGCUCUGCAAAACUCAACCCUAGCGCCGCCUUGCCCAACAUUUCCGCCGAAUCAUCGUCGAACGAGUUUCGAUUCACCGCUGCAGGCCGGUCGGCCUUGGAGUCUUUUACUCUUUUAGGCGCGACAACAUUCGCUUCUUGUCUUGCGCUGCCAUCGGACAAUCCUGCCGCGGAUAGGGAACAUGAGAAAACCGACUCCACAGGUAAGUCACAGACCCCGGCAACUGCGCGACUGUCUCCCGGCGUGUUUUCGGUUGCCGGCCUGGAUACAAGGAGAGACCGUGACUGUUUUUUUGAGUGCAGUUGCUUUAGCUGGUGCUGCUCAUUCAACUGCUGUUGGUACUGCUGAAGUUGCUGACGCGCAACUCUCUGGUCGAAGGCAUGGCGGGCUGCGAUGGCCAUGAGCCGAGCCCGUUCGCAGCCGAACUUCUUGUUGCUGAAGGACUUGUAAUUCUGCUUCCCAUUUUCGCACCAGAAUGCUACCCAGCUGUUUCGAUCUUUGGCAAAACGCACCCCAGGCAUGGGGGCGUCCUCUCGGGGCCACGCGGGGCGUAUCUUCUUUUGUGUUGUCAUCCGCGCCACGCAUUGCAACGUUUCAUUGUUUUUUGCGACAUCUGUUGCUGACUGGGGACUGGGCUGUUUGAUUCCGUGUCCGUCUUCUCCAUCAUCGCCCUGAGAAGGUGAAUCGGGCAAUCCAUGUUCCGUGAUCAGACUUGCCUUUCUUUUUGUCCGAUUCUGAAACUCACCCAUGUGCCCACCACCCAGCUCGACAGCCAAGGAUUUGCGAGAACACGAUUCAUCUGGAGACGCAGAGCCCUGAUACAGUGGUCCGGACGGCAGUGUAAGCCGAAGCGCACUGCGAGCCUUGUCCGCGCCUUCGGGGACGGACCAAUUCGGACCUCGCGGUCGAGCUCUCUUUUUGAGGGCACCCGGCAGCUGAGACUCCGCUUCCACACACUCAUGCUUGUCUAAGGCAUGACCACGAGGAAAGAUUGGCGCCAAGAGCUGCUGCCCAUAAGAGGCAGCGCAGCCUUCUGCAGAUCCUACAGUGCCAACGCCGUUUACAUUUCCCGUAGAAAACGAGUCAGCACCUGCGUAGGUCGAACUACGCAGCACUGCAGUGGCGGGGUGGUCGAGUCCCAGAUGCCGCUGGCCAAUUUCUCCACCUGACAGUACGGCUUCCAAACCGAGCGGGCUCGGAGGCCGCACAGCGGGGCGGACGCGUCGUGAGCGGACCAUGUGCUGGAGGCUAUCUCCAUCACUUCCAGUUUGUGAGGAACUGGGGGACUUGGCGUUAGUCGAUCCUUCCCGGAGGAUACGACUCAGGUCUUGCGUCGAGGGCGCAUUCACGUCACCUGAGACAGCCGAAGCAAGCGGUCCUGUUGCGAAUGCUUCGGGCUCGUCCCAGUCCACCAUCUGAUCAGGGUUCCCUAAUGCCUCCAGUUGAGAGCGAACGUCGCGAUUCCCUCGGUCAUCUACAGCUGAGGUGGUGCUAGGGGUUCGACGGAACGGCGGCACUCUCCAGGGCGCUGUGGCGGAUCAUCCUUGGACAUGCGGCCCAGAGAAUCCUGUCGAUCUGGAGAGGAAGGCAGAUUAUCGGUCGAGCAACCGGUGGUUGUGUCUGGCGUAGCGUGGCCGGGUUUUGACUCGGAAUUCGAUGUGCAGUAAUCAGGAGCACCGCGAGGAGUUGUAGUUGAACUUGUAGUCAGCUUGUCAGCGAGUCUUUCCGAGCACUUCUUGUCCCCUGAUUCGGAAGAGGCUGCCCAUGCAGCGGUUUCUAGCAGGGAAUUCAAUGGACACCAUGCGCCAUCCCCAGUUUGAAGCCGUGACACCGCGUUGCUUCCCAAGCAGCUGACUUCCCCGUUGCCUGUGAACCCGGAAGACCUGCAGGGAGAAAUCACGAACACACACUGCUGGGUGAUACCAUGGGUACUGUACCAAAAAAAUUGAUUGAUGGAGGCCCAGAAGAGCGGAAUUGUGUGUGUGAAGGCGAUUCCGCCUCGAAUAGAAUUUCUGUCAACCCCAAAACGAUGCAAAACAUAUUAUAUACGUUGCUAAGAGUAUACGCACAGGUACACACACACUUUUGAAGCACAAUACACUCCUUUGCCUGUCGUCUUUGAAUUGGCUAUUGGACACCCAUUAUCGUAAAGAAGAGUCGGAGUCGUCGAACGCCUUCUUGAACACAUUCGAGUUGUGUCUCCACUCUAUUAAUGCCACGAUGAGCACACUUACGUUGACGUGUCGCUUGUAAUUUUUCUUGGAUAGCCGCAGUUCUCCGCCAAUACAUUCGGGAC
rnacentral:lncRNA from 1 species